GGCGGAAUUCGUGGUGUAGCGGUGAAAUGCUUAGAUAUCACGAAGAACUCCGAUUGCGAAGGCAGCUCACUGGAGCGCAACUGACGCUGAAGCUCGAAAGUGCGGGUAUCGAACAGGAUUAGAUACCCUGGUAGUCCGCACGGUAAACGAUGGAUGCCCGCCGUCGGCACAUGGUGUCGGCGGCCAAGCGAAAGCGUUAAGCAUCCCACCUGGGGAGUACGCCGGCAACGGUGAAACUCAAAGGAAUUGACGGGGGCCCGCACAAGCGGAGGAACAUGUGGUUUAAUUCGAUGAUACGCGAGGAACCUUACCCGGGCUUGAAUUGCAGAGGAAGGAUUUGGAGACAAUGACGCCCUUCGGGGUCUCUGUGAAGGUGCUGCAUGGUUGUCGUCAGCUCGUGCCGUGAGGUGUCGGCUUAAGUGCCAUAACGAGCGCAACCCCUCUCCUUAGUUGCCAUCAGUUGAAGCUGGGCACUCUGGGGACACUGCCACCGUAAGGUGUGAGGAAGGUGGGGAUGACGUCAAAUCAGCACGGCCCUUACGUCCGGGGCUACACACGUGUUACAAUGGGGGGUACAGAGGGCCGCUACCACGCGAGUGGAUGCCAAUCCCUAAAACCCCUCUCAGUUCGGACUGGAGUCUGCAACCCGACUCCACGAAGCUGGAUUCGCUAGUAAUCGCGCAUCAGCCA
rnacentral:rRNA from 1 species